AUAACGACUCUCGGCAACGGAUAUCUCGGCUCUCGCAUCGAUGAAGAACGUAGCGAACUGCGAUACUUGGUGUGAAUGUUGCGCCCGAAGCCUUAGGGUCGAGGGCACGUUUGCCUGGGUGUCACA
rnacentral:rRNA from 1 species